rnacentral:rRNA from 1 species
CAGCAGCCGCGGUAAUACGUAGGUGGCAAGCGUUGUCCGGAAUUAUUGGGCGUAAAGGGCUCGCAGGCGGUUUCUUAAGUCUGAUGUGAAAGCCCCCGGCUCAACCGGGGAGGGUCAUUGGAAACUGGGAAACUUGAGUGCAGAAGAGGAGAGUGGAAUUCCACGUGUAGCGGUGAAAUGCGUAGAGAUGUGGAGGAACACCAGUGGCGAAGGCGACUCUCUGGUCUGUAACUGACGCUGAGGAGCGAAAGCGUGGGGAGCAAACAGGAUUAGAGACCCGAGUAGUCCCUGUCUCUUAUAC